GAUGAACGCUGGCGGCGUGCCUAACACAUGCAAGUCGAGCGAUCUUCUCCGGAAGAGAGCGGCGGACGGGUGAGUAACGCGUGGGUAACCUGCCCUGUACACACGGAUAACAUACCGAAAGGUAUGCUAAUACGGGAUAACAUACUUUUAUCGCAUGGUAGAAGUAUCAAAGCUCCGGCGGUACAGGAUGGACCCGCGUCUGAUUAGCUAGUUGGUAAGGUAAUGGCUUACCAAGGCGACGAUCAGUAGCCGACCUGAGAGGGUGAUCGGCCACAUUGGAACUGAGACACGGUCCAAACUCCUACGGGAGGCAGCAGUGGGGAAUAUUGCACAAUGGGCGAAAGCCUGAUGCAGCAACGCCGCGUGAGCGAUGAAGGCCUUCGGGUCGUAAAGCUCUGUCCUCAAGGAAGAUAAUGACGGUACUUGAGGAGGAAGCCCCGGCUAACUACGUGCCAGCCGCCGCCGUAACAC
rnacentral:rRNA from 1 species